GUUCAAAACAGGACUUACACCGAAAACUAUUCUCAACCUCACUUACGGACGUUCACACGGCCUCUCCUUCCUUUCACAACACCCUCUUCCUUGGUGUUUCACACACCAGCACAGACACAUCCACACAGCGCCUGCAGAACAGGCAGGGCAUCCAGGCAGGUUCAGACAACCAGGAUGAGCACAAACAGCCACCACAGCAGCAAAAGAAAGCCCUAUGGAGCCAGGUGCUGGAGAAGCAGUACCAAAUAGGUAGAUGAGGGAGCUCCAGUCCAGCUCAGCUCUUGUAUGUGACAGAAUGGAAAGUGAGCAAGGAAAUGGGGAAGCAGCUGAAUACAGAUGAACAUCAGGCCCUUGGGCUCAAGCCAGUGGGAGCAGUGUGGUUGACUCGCAGGGGCUAGAAGAAGCCAUCACAGAAGAAGACCAUGCAAGGUCAGAAACGUAUUUGCAGAUCCCUGCCAAGUCCCAUUACCGAGCUGACUGAAAGCACUUUAGAAGAAAAGGAGGGCGACUAGUUUUCCUCUGCCAUCAGGAGAUUUACUGCCUCUGAUCCAAUCUUCCCACUUCCAAAUCAGGACAGGCUGAAGAAGCUGGAAUCAGAUGAAAUGAUGCUACUCCUGACCAUCCUCUGAAUAUCCUUCCACAACAUGCCAUGUCCUUGUAAGGCCCUGGGUUUUGCCUUUACAAUACAGCUCAUGCAGAGUAACUGUGAAGCAUUUAGUUAGGACAUCUGCUAGGAAUAGAUUUAAGCCCACUGACAACUUAAUAGCAGAGGCUGCUGCUUAAUGGGAUGUUAUCAGUUGCUGUGGCACUCGCAAAAAGUCAGAAACGUAGGUGGUACUGGUGUUCCUGUCCUUUAACUUGCCUCUUCCUCUCAAGCAGCCCAGGCUGAGGCACACAGCAGACUCAAGGCUGGCAGCAUUUUCAGAGGCUCUGUCCUACCUAGUCAGAAUAAACUACACCACACAGGAGCUGCCAUGACACAAGACCACUCAGCCACCUGAAGACCCAGAAGGAAGCAAAUGUGUUGGAUGCCUUGGCUCUCAGUGAUUCCUAACUACCACACUGAGAAUUUUGUGGUGACUGCCUGAAACACGUCAGACAGCAGUUUGAUUUCUAGCCCACUUGUUCAGCCUCCGCCUGUAAGAAUACAUUCCUGCUUUGCCCUCUCAUGGGCACCACGGCUCCACGGCAGCAACACUGCUAGCCCUCGUCCUGCUAUAGAUCGCCCGUCUUUAUUACCUGUGAUAAAAGGCCACCCAGGGGCCAUCUCAGAAGAGAGGAUUUGGUCAAUCCAGGCAACUUUGGACGAUGGCAGGAAAUAAAGAACCAGUCAAGGAGCAGAACGUGACAGGAAACGCAAUGCCGUUUAUGGGAUUUGAAGGCCUUGCUAACAGGAGUGGAGAACGGCAUCCUGUCCCUGGAGGGCAUGAGGAUCCCGCAGGGUUGUGAGUGCAGGAACCAGCCACUCUUUGGUGUUUGGCCCCCUGGACUGACAUCCAGAUCCCCAAGUUAGGUACUGGGAGUUGUUUUAGAAAUGCACCAGGGAGAGUCGGACACUGAGGGUGGGAUCCAAGAAAGCCAAUAUGCCAUGCAAAGAGCUACGUAGUAGGAAACAGGAGAGAAGGGGACAGAUUGGGCGUCUCCACCCCUAGUCAGGUGUGUUAACUGGGGAGGUUUUGGAGAACAAUGCAGAAAAUCAUUAAACAUAUCAUGUUGGGCUCAUGUUGCUGGGUACAUCCCACAGUGCCAUCUCAUCUAACCACUGACACUCAAGAGUAUUUGACCAGAAAGCCUUCUGUUCAGAAAGAUCAAUAGGAUUCAAACUUACCUUUCUCAUAAAAAAUGUCAGUCUCCAGCCUUGGCCAUAUUCAGGGAGAGAAACUCAUUUUCUCUCAUGCUGUAGGUGUGACGUGACAUUCAAGAGUGACAGAUGCAGUGGUGUUGAUAGGGCCCCAUUGACAGGAUUCACAGCAUCAAUCCCUGCUCCUCAGAUUGUCUUUUAUUGAAUAUAAACACAAGAAAGCUCCUGGGAGCAGGACCAGCCAUAAGGACUUUCCGCUUCCAGGUGAGUUCUGCAGCAGGCUGGAGAGAUGAGCUUUUCCUCUUUUUCCGGCUCAGAGAAGGUUGAAUUCUUAGAGCACAGGGGCCUGCUUUGAGGAGGUGGGGGACUGCCCUCAGCAAGGACUGCUUCCUACCUGGUGGACAGGGUCCUGUGGUGGGAAAAACAGGUUUGAGCUUCCUCAGGCUCAGGGACUGCAUUAGGAUGCCAAACUGUGGUUUGAAAGAAAGUUGAAAACUUUAUUGCCUUUUUUCUGCCCAGUUCUUGAAGGAGGGUGAGGUCUGGGAGAGAAUAAUACAAGCAGGAACUGAAAACAUUGUUGGUUCUGAACUCAAGUUUAACUUCAGCUAAAAAGAAAAAACACAACUUAAUGUCUGGAUCCUGUUCAGGCUUAGAUGUAGACUGCACUAGACAGAAGUAGUUCUCAGCAUUCCUAGGGGCAUAAGCUGUGGCAGCAGAGGACAUUAAAACAUCAGAUAGUGAAGUACACAUGGGACAUAGGUGACUCCAGGGGUAGGCAGCAGGCCAGUGAGGACUUUGAAGAUCAGGACGUUUGGAACUGCAGGCUGUACCUCACAGGAAGCCCUGGAAGAAGUGGAGGAAGAGCAUGAUAAGAUCUCAGGAACCCAUGACAUUGAGAAGAUGGAUUGUCACAAGAGCUGGCUUGAAUGUUUAGUAUGAUGAUUUUACCAGGAAAAAAGCAUACUAUUAAAAAUUAUACUCUUU